GGAUCGGUGGUCUAGCUGGUAGGAUACCGCACUCACACUGCGGUGGUCAGGGGUUCAAAUCCCUUCCGAUCCA
rnacentral:tRNA from 2 species